UGUAACCCCUGACAGCUGUC
rnacentral:miRNA from 1 species